UUUGUCUGUUGAAACCUUUAAGAUUUUUUCUCAGUACUGUUUUGUUUUUCUAAAGGGACGUAACACCACUACUAACCGUGUAUGAAAUAAGCCCCGCCUCCUUAUUACCUUAUACGGAAUAAAAAGGGACGUAACUCCACUACUAACCGUGUAUGAAAUAAGCCCCGCCUCCUAACUAACCUAAUAUUAAAUAUACACGGUUUCCACGAGGACGCUUUUAACCAAUCAUAUUCCUAGAAAUGUAUAGGAGGUAAGAUAAUAUAAAUUAGUUGCUUUUGCUGCUUUAAAAUUCAAAACUUUGUGUAAAAUCAAAGACUCUGUGCAUCUUGGUGUGGAUGGACCAAAAACAAAAUUAUUGUUACAAAACAUAUGAAUACUUCAAUCUUCAAUCUUAAAUAAAUCUAAAAUCAUCGUGAAAACUGAU
rnacentral:lncRNA from 1 species